UGGGGAAUAUUGGACAAUGGGGCAACCCGUGAUCCAGCCAUGCCGCGUGAGUGAUGACGGCCUUAGGGUUGUAAAGCUCUUUUCUCCGGGACGAUAAUGACGGUACCGGAGGAAUAAGCCCCGGCUAACUUCGUGCCAGCAGCCGCGGUAAUACGAAGGGGGCUAGCGUUGCUCGGAAUCACUGGGCGUAAAGGGCGCGUAGGCGGCUGAUUUAGUCGAGGGUGAAAGCCCGUGGCUCAACCACGGAAUGGCCUUCGAUACUGGUUGGCUUGAGACCGGAAGAGGACAGCGGAACUGCGAGUGUAGAGGUGAAAUUCGUAGAUAUUCGCAAGAACACCAGUGGCGAAGGCGGCUGUCUUGGUUCCGGUUCUGACGCUGAGGCGCGAAAGCGUGGGGAGCAAAACA
rnacentral:rRNA from 1 species